ACGCUCGACACCUACGGGAGCAGCAGUGGGGAAUAUUGCACAAUGGGGGAAACCCUGAUGCAGCGACGCCGCGUGAAGGAAGAAGUAUCUCGGUAUGUAAACUUCUAUCAGCAGGGAAGAAAAUGACGGUACCUGACUAAGAAGCCCCGGCUAACUACGUGCUAGCAGCCGCGUAAUCUGAGCGGGCUGGCAAGGC
rnacentral:rRNA from 1 species